rnacentral:rRNA from 1 species
UACGGAGGGUGCGAGCGUUGUCCGGAAUCACUGGGCGUAAAGGGCGCGUAGGCGGCGCGGGGGAGUCAACGGUGAAAGCUCGGCGCUCAACGCCGAGUCGGCCGUCGAUACUCCCCGUGCUCGAGCACUGUAGAGGCAGGGUGGAAUUCCGGGGAUUGUACGGCGGGUAGGGAAUUGGACGUAGAGGAAUCCGGAAAGAACCGAACCGGGAUGGCCAGCAAGGGCGGGCCCUGGAGCCUGGGGCCCUGGUAGUUGGGACCA